GAUGAACGCUGGCGGCGUGCCUAAUACAUGCAAGUCGAGCGAAUGGAUUAAGAGCUUGCUCUUAUGAAGUUAGCGGCGGACGGGUGAGUAACACGUGGGUAACCUGUCCAUAAGACUGGGAUAACUCCGGGAAACCGGGGCUAAUACCGGAUAACAUUUUGAACCGCAUGGUUCGAAAUUGAACGGCGGCUUCGGCUGUCACUUAUGGAUGGACCCGCGUCGCAUUAGCUAGUUGGUGAGGUAACGGCUCACCAAGGCAACGAUGCGUAGCCGACCUGAGAGGGUGAUCGGCCACACUGGGACUGAGACACGGCCCAGACUCCUACGGGAGGCAGCAGUAGGGAAUCUUCCGCAAUGGACGAAAGUCUGACGGAGCAACGCCGCGUGAGUGAUGAGGGCUUUCGGGUCGUAAAACUCUGUUGUUAGGGAAGAACAAGUGCUAGUUGAAUAAGCUGGCACCUUGACGGUACCUAACCAGAAAGCCACGGCUAACUACGUGCCAGCAGCCGCGGUAA
rnacentral:rRNA from 1 species